GUCCAGUGAUGUAUCGCUGCAGCCCUGACGGUCGACGGCAUCGUUGCGGUGCGUUUGUCUUGGCAAUGGGCGGCUGUGAUGACAACUAUGCUGACUAGCAACCUGAAUCUGAGGACCCCCGUCAUGGCUCUUCUCGUAUCGGUGCGGUAUUUGUUUUUGGAUUAAUAACUUAAUUAAGGGAGAUGACAGUCUACUUAACAUGAAGGGACAAAGACGACAGCCUUGUACAUUGAAAAAGACCAAGAUUUUGAUGUGUGAAUUUGGUUCCUUCCCACUAUCCUAAAACUGUAUCCAGAUCAAUCGCCGAUUCCUUCCCCUAUCCAGUUCUGUAUUGUUCACUAAGUGAUUUUGAUGUCUGAAGUUCAACUGUAUAUGUAGGUAAAAAAACUGGUGUUUUUGGUUCAAUGGUUUCAAUUUCACAGCGUCAUCCAAGGUGCGGCACCGCCCUGGGAAGGUCACGGUGGCGCCCUGGGUAGGUCGCAAGCACUCGGUCCGUCGUCACCUGUGCAUCGGCAGGAAAUCUAGUGCCUUCAUACAUCUUCCUCAUGUACCAGAGCUCCUCUCUCGAGCCUCAUGUAACGAGGCCGAUCGCCCAGCUGGACUGGAAAAAGCAGCGUGCGACUCACCCUGCCAUCCCCUCUCUAGUUGUUCCAUUGUUUUUGAGUUUUGGUCUUCAAUUGAAAAAGAAUAUGUCUUUGGCAGGGACGACAUGGUCACUGUGAAAUAGAUAAAUUUUGAUUUUAAGUCGCCACAAAAUGUAGAUUGUUCAGUCCAUGUGACUCCAGGUUGAAGUUUGAUGCAUUGUACUACAUGACUGAUGUACAUUAUACUACUAUAAAUGCAUCAAACGUCCUGCCGUUUUUA